UACGAGGGGGGCGAGCGUUGUUCGGAAUUAUUGGGCGUAAAGGGUGCGUAGGCGGCCUGACAAGUCUGAUGUGAAAUCCCUGGGCUCAACCCAGGGCCUGCAUCGGAAACUGUCGGGCUUGAGUAUGAGAGAGGUGAGUGGAAUUUCCGGUGUAGCGGUGAAAUGCGUAGAUAUCGGAAGGAACACCUGUGGCGAAAGCGGCUCACUGGACCAUAACUGACGCUGAUGCACGAAAGCUGGGGGAGCAAACAGG
rnacentral:rRNA from 1 species